rnacentral:tRNA from 1 species
GGCUGCAUAGCUCAACGGAAGAGCAGCGCAUUCCUAACGCGCAGGCUACGGGUUCGAGUCCCGUUGCGGCCC